rnacentral:lncRNA from 1 species
UUCUUCAGAGGUAGAGGUAUGGACUGCGUACAUCUUACCCCCCACCCCAGACCCCACUAGGUGGGAAUACACUGGGUUUGUUGUUGUUGUUACAGUUCGUAGAUGAAUGUCAAUCGGCUUUGAGAAGUUUUUGUGUGUAAAAUUUAAGUUUAAUUGUAUUGUUUUGAUAUCACUUUUAUCGUAUUAUUUUGUUGUAAUUUACAGCUGAUAGUUAAAUGUUAGUCGGCUUUGAGAAAUUUUUUUUAUGUAAAGGUCAGGUUUAGUUGUAUUAUUUUGAUACUUCUAUUAUCAUAUUAUUUUGUUAUUGUUUACAAGUGG